UUCAACGAUGCAGCGAGUCGCGAAUCACUCUGAAGAUUCCUUUGUAUUUUUGAGCCAGACAUUUUGAAGCCUCCAAAAGGUGCCUGAGGAAUUCCACCAUAAUAACAGUUGACCCUGAAGGAAAUCAGCAGGUUGGAGUAAAUCGCAAUUUAAGAGUGUUACAUUGAUAUUUCAUGCAUGUUUACAAAAUCUGUCUUCCCAGUCUAUUCAAUGUAAAACCCUUAAUGUAUUUUGUAAUCAGUUAAGAUCUUUUGCCAGGUAUUUCUUGAACCGUGAAGUAUUUUAGAAAUCAAACUGUCCAUUUUUGAGUCUUUUUUUUUUUUUU